rnacentral:rRNA from 1 species
UUUGAACGCUGGCGGCAGGCCUAACACAUGCAAGUCGAGCGAGCGGCGGACGGGUGAGUAAUGUCUGGGAAACUGCCUGAUGGAGGGGGAUAACUACUGGAAACGGUAGCUAAUACCGCAUACCAUCAGAUGUGCCCAGAUGGGAUUAGCUAGUAGGUGGGGUAACGGCUCCCCUAGGCGACGAGCCCUAGCUGGUCUGAGAGGAUGUCCAGCCAGACUGGAACUGUGAUACUGACGAGACUCCUACGUGAGUCAGCAGUGGGGAAUAUUGGACAAUGGGCGCAAGCCUGAUUCAGCCAUGCCGCGUGUGUGAAGAAGGCCUUCGGGUUGUAAAGCUCUUUCAGCGGGGAGGCGUUACCCGCAGAAGAAGCACCGGCUAACUCCGUGCCAGCAGCCGCGGUAAUAG